rnacentral:tRNA from 1 species
ACCAGGAUGGCCGAGUGGUUAAGGCGCCAGACUUAAGAUCUGGUCCUCUGAAGAGGACGUGGGUUCGAACCCCACUCCUGGUA